CUGUUAUAACAGGGAAGAUAGACCAUUCCUGUAAUGGCUGCUUCCCAGAAGGCGGUGUCACGUGUACUCUCUUAGCCUCAGCUUCCGGAGCUCCAAAAAGGGAAUAUUUCAAGUCAGAUAGAUUUUUAUAUAUGCCAUUUCGUUGGAACCUUUAAGUCUUCAAGAUCCCAGCAUCAUGACCUCAGUUUCAACACAAUUGCUCUUAGUCCUCAUUUCAUUGCUUUUGGUUCUGCCAGUUGUUGAAGCAGUAGAAGCCAGAGAUGCAAUCGCUCUCUUGUUAGGUGUGGUUCUCAGCAUUACAGGCAUUUGUGCUUGUCUUGGUGUGUAUGCACGAAAGCGGAAUGGACAGAUGUAACUUUCAAGGGCCUCCUGAAUCAAACUUCGCCCUGAAAACUUGUUUUCUUCAGAUUAAACCUGAGCUUUACUCUGAAUUUCCCAGUGAACAGUAAUGGUUUCAUAUUCUUAGUUGUUUCCCAUGAAAUGGGGACAAAUGGAUGUUUGUUAAAUGGAAGAAAAAAAUGUUUUCUUUAUAACAAAUAAUGCACUGAAAACUGCAGCCUAUAAAUUGUAUUUGCUGCUUAGAAAAAAGGUCAAAGAUGUGGGAUAGUGUAAAUUUACAGAAGUAGUAGUUUUAAGAAUUCUCAAAGCAUAUGAAAUAGGAAGGAGGAAUCUCUUGCCCAGACUCUUAACAAAUCUCCACUGUUGAGUUAUCACUGCCUCCUGAGUCCUUAAGGAGUCUUUUUCUCCAUGUUUUUAUUACAUGUUUGUUUUAUCUCCCAAGUUAAUAUUGUACUUAGAUAUCAAAUAACCAAAAUUGAAAUGUUUAUCUUUAGGGGGAAAACAAAGUUUUGAAAAAAAUGUACUCAAUGCAUCUAAUAUUGAAAUGGAGAAAAAAUUUAAUGUUAAAAAAAGCCACUGUUAUAUUGACAUUGGAAGAGAUUCAAUGUAAGCAAAACGGCCUUUGUAUUAAUUAAGAUCUCCAUGGUGAGAAUUACUAUAUUAAAUACAAGCUCAUUAUGUUGUAAAAAAAAAAAUAAAAAAAAUAACAGGGAAGAUAGAUAUUA
rnacentral:lncRNA from 1 species